rnacentral:rRNA from 1 species
CGCUGGCGGCAUGCCUAACACAUGCAAGUCGAACGAGACCUUCGGGUCUAGUGGCGCACGGGUGCGUAACGCGUGGGAAUCUGCCCUUCGGUUCGGAAUAACAGUUAGGAAUGACUGCUAAUACCGGAUAAUGACGUAAGUCCAAAGAUUUAUCGCCGAAGGAUGAGCCCGCGUAGGAUUAGCUUGUUGGUGAGGUAAAAGCUCACCAAGGCGACGAUCCUUAGCUGGUCUGAGAGGAUGAUCAGCCACACUAGGACUGAGACACGGCCCAGACUCCUACGGGAGGCAGCAGUGGGGAAUAUUGGACAAUGGGCGAAAGCCUGAUCCAGCAAUGCCGCGUGAGUGAUGAAGGCCUUAGGGUCGUAAAGCUCUUUUACCAGGGAUGAUAAUGACAGUACCUGGAGAAUAAGCUCCGGCUAACUCCGUGCCAGCAGCCGCGGUAAUACGGAGGGAGCUAGCGUUGUUCGGAAUUACUGGGCGUAAAGCGUACGUAGGCGGUUAUUCAAGUCAGAGGUGAAAGCCCGGGGCUCAACCCCGGAACGGCCUUUGAAACUAGGUAGCUAGAAUCUUGGAGAGGUCAGUGGAAUUCCGAGUGUAGAGGUGAAAUUCGUAGAUAUUCGGAAGAACACCAGUGGCGAAGGCAACUGACUGGACAAGUAUUGACGCUGAGGUACGAAAGCGU